ACUCAAAUGAAUUGACGGGGGCCCGCACAAGCGGCGGAGCAUGUGGCUUAAUUCGACGCGACGCGAAGAACCUUACCUGGGCUUGACAUGCGGGGCAAAGCCGGUGAAAGCCGGUGCCCUACGGGGCCCGCACAGGUGGUGCAUGGCUGUCGUCAGCUCGUGCCGUGAGGUGUUGCCUUAAGUGGCGCAACGAGCGCAACCCCUAUUCCUAGUUGCCAGCGGGUAAAGCCGGGAACUCUAGGGAGACUGCCGGUGCCAAACCGGAGGAAGGUGGGGAUGACGUCAAGUCAUCAUGCCCCUUAUGUCCAGGGCUGCACACAUGCUACAAUGCGUGGUACAGAGGGCUGCGAUCCCGCAAGGGGGAGCGAAUCCCAGAAAGCCACGCUCAGUUCGGAUCGGGGUCUGCAACUCGACCCCGUGAAGUCGGAGUCGCUAGUAAUCGCGGAUCAGCAACGCCGCGGUGAAUACGUUCCCGGGCCUUGCACACACCGCCCGU
rnacentral:rRNA from 1 species